rnacentral:tRNA from 1 species
GGGCCGGUAGCUCAGCUGGUAGAGCACUGCCCUUUUAAGGCAGGUGUCCCGGGUUCGAACCCCGGCCGGCUCA